rnacentral:rRNA from 1 species
AGUCUGAUGUGAAAGCACACAGCUCAACUGUGAUGUUGCGUUGGAAACUGUUUGACUUGAAUCCGAGNGGGGUGUGUGGAAUUCCUAGUGUAGGGGUGAAAUCUGUUGAUAUUAGGAAGAACACCAGAGGCGAAGGCGACACACUGGCUCUGGAUUGACGCUGAUGUGCGAAAGCGUAGGUAGCGAACAGGAUUAGAUACCCUGGUAGUCUACGCCGUAAACGAUGUACACUUGGUGUCUGUUGUUUUGACGAUAGGUGCCGUAGCUAACGCGUUAAGUGUACCGCCUGGGGAGUAUGCCGGCAACGGUGAAACUCAAAGGAAUUGACGGGGGCCCGCACAAGCGGUGGAGCAUGUGGUUUAAUUCGAUGAUACGCGAGGAACCUUACCAGGGUUUGACAUAUACGUGACAGUUCUAGAGAUAGGAUUUUCUCUUUUGAGACAUGUAUACAGGUGCUGCAUGGUUGUCGUCAGCUCGUGCCGUGAGGUGUUGGGUUAAGUCCCGUAACGAGCGCAACCCUUGUCUUUAGUUCGAUAGUCUAAAGAAACUGCCGAUAAUAAAUCGGAGGAAGGUGAGGAUGACGUCAAGUCAGCAUGCCCCUUAUAUUCUGGGCGACACACGUGCUACAAUGGUUAAGACAAUGGGAUGCAAACUUGUAAAAGGAAGCUAACCUCAAAAACUUAAUCGAAGUUCGGAUUGUCGACUGAAACUCGUCGACAUGAAGCUGGAAUCGCUAGUAAUCGCCGGUCAGCCACACGGCGGUGAAUACGUUCUCGGGCCUUGUACACACCGCCCGUCACGUUAGGGAAGCUGANUAUGCCCGAAGUCAUUGAUUUAACCUU